rnacentral:pre_miRNA from 1 species
AGUGGGAUAGCUGGGUCAAAUGGUGGUUCCAUUCCCAGUUUUUCAAGGAAACUCCAUACUGUUUUCCAUAUUGGUUGCAACAUUUUGCAGUCCCACUAGCAAU